GAUGAACGCUGGCGGCGUGCCUAAUACAUGCAAGUCGAGCGGACAGACGAGGAGCUUGCUCCUCUGACGUUAGCGGCGGACGGGUGAGUAACACGUGGAUAACCUACCUAUAAGACUGGGAUAACUUCGGGAAACCGGAGCUAAUACCGGAUAAUAUAUUGAACCGCGUGGUUCAAUAGUGAAAGACGGUUUUGCUGUCACUUAUAGAUGGAUCCGCGCCGCAUUAGCUAGUUGGUAAGGUAACGGCUUACCAAGGCAACGAUGCGUAGCCGACCUGAGAGGGUGAUCGGCCACACUGGAACUGAGACACGGUCCAGACUCUUACGGGAGGCAGCAGUAGGGAAUCUUCCGCAAUGGGCGAAAGCCUGACGGAGCAACGCCGCGUGAGUGAUGAAGGUCUUCGGAUCGUAAAACUCUGUUAUUAGGGAAGAACAAAUGUGUAAGUAACUAUGCACGUCUUGACGGUACCUAAUCAGAAAGCCACGGCUAACUACGUG
rnacentral:rRNA from 1 species